rnacentral:rRNA from 1 species
CUGGCUCAGGAUGAACGCUGGCGGCGUGCCUAAUACAUGCAAGUCGAACGAGGUAGCAAUACCGAGUGGCGAACGGGUGAGUAACACGUAGGUAACCUGCCCUUAAGCUUGGGAUACCCAGAGGAAACUUUGGCUAAUACCGGAUAACAACAGAGAAGGCAUCUUCUUUGCUUGAAAGGCCCCUUCAAGGGUCACUUAAGGAUGGACCUGCGGCGCAUUAGCUAGUUGGUGAGAUAACAGCCCACCAAGGCGAGGAUGCGUAGCCGAACUGAGAGGUUGAUCGGCCACAUUGGAACUGAGACACGGUCCAAACUCCUACGGGAGGCAGCAGUAAGGAGUUUUCGGCAAUGGGGGAAACCCUGACCGAGCAACGCCGCGUGAGCGAUGACGGCCCUAUGGGUUGUUAAAAAGCUCUGUUGUAAGCCAUGAAUGAUAGCUUGAGGAAAUGCAAGCUAUUUGACGACAGCUUACCAGAAAGCCACGGCUAACUACGUGCCAGCAGCUGC